ensembl:processed_transcript
AUUACGAACACCUGACCUGCAGUGCAGCAGAAUUCAGAGACAUGUAACUUACUCCAGAGACUCACUAACUUGCACAGCAUUGAAUGGAAAAGGCUUUGUCCAUGUAAGUUUACUUUACCUUUAACUAAGCUAUCUGUUAAAUCUUCUUAGUGCUUUGGUUAACCAAAAGCAUGGUGAUAUUCUCUUUCUAAUAUGUUUGUUUAUUGAUUGUUAGGCUAUGUUGUUAUAUUAUAUUGUUAUAUUGAUAUUAUUAUUGUGAAAUCAUGUUGUGAUGUUAUACUAUGUGACAGUAUUGGGGAACAAAUAUGUAUUUAGUGAGAAAUUAAUGCUUAAAUUACACUUUGUAUAGUAGCAGAUAAAAGGUGUAAUGGGUUUUAACUUUCUGAGUUUUCUGGAAGGUCCAGUUGAGGGGCAUCAAGAACACGCAGAUAGCCUACCUGGACAGACUGCAGUUCUGCUACUCCAUGCCAAGGCUUUUGUAUGGAUGUCUGACUACUACUGUGUUCUCUAAAGGUUUUCUGGAAGCUCCAGUUGAGGGCGUCAAGGACAAACCGAUGGCCUAAACAAGUGUCAGCCUGGACAGACAGACAGACAUCUAUUGCAGUUCUGCUACACAAGACCAAACUCUCUGCUUUUGUAUGGAUGUCUGACUAGUACGGUGUUCUCUGAAGGUAUUACUGGAGCAAAACGACAGCACCCGUUACAGUGAAAUUUGUGUUCAUUAAAGAUAGU